CCCAUAGAAAAAGUGUACUGCCUACAUUUUUUGGAAGAGUGGCAAUCAGUGCGUUUACAAAUUGUGAAAUAAGGAUUUGGAACCCGCUUACCAGACUCGAGUCGGUGUGGUGCAAGCGACGAUGAUGAAUUUUGUUGGUGGUAUGGUGCAGGCAACGAUUGUGGUUGUUUGGUUUCUAUGGGUGUCUGUUUUUGUGAGUUUUGAGUAGAUAUGGUGGUUGGGAUGUGUUUGGAUGGUGUUUUUUUGUGGUGGCGGUGGUGAUGGUGUUUGUGUGGUGGCGAUUUUGUGGUGGUGGUCGUGGUGACAGAUCUGGCUGUCGGGAUGGGUUUUAUUAAAUUUGGCGGUGGUUUGGGAGAGUUUUGGUAUUAUUAGGGGGUUUUAGUUGGUUUUUGUUGGUUGUGAAGGUAGAGGUACUUUCGACGAUGGUGGACUUGGUGACAAUUUUGUUGGUGGUACUGGUGGAGGAGUUGACGGUGGUGUGGUUGAUGGUGGUGGUGGUGGUGUGGUGCUUUGAGGGCGGUCGCAAGUGGCGUUGGUAGUGACAAUGACGACGAUGUUGGUAGCGGUGAACCAAUUAUUUGGUUAUAUUUGAUCAAGUAUUAAACCGUGACCUUCAAAUUUAAUAACUUGUGACUGAAAUAUAAUUUCUGACCAACAAUUUUAAAAAUCUAUGAUUGAUAAUAAACUAUGUCCUGUAAUAUUUUUUAUUUCUGACCAAUGAAAUAAAUUGCCCCCUAUAAAAAAAUUUAUUCUUGA